GACGAACGCGGCGGCGUGCCUAAUACAUGCAAGUAGAACGCUGAAGGAGGAGCUUGCUUCUCCGGAUGAGUUGCGAACGGGUGAGUAACGCGUAGGUAACCUGCCUGGUAGCGGGGGAUAACUAUUGGAAACGAUAGCUAAUACCGCAUAAGAGUAGAUGUUGCAUGACAUUUGCUUAAAAGGUGCAAUUGCAUCACUACCAGAUGGACCUGCGUUGUAUUAGCUAGUUGGUGGGGUAACGGCUCACCAAGGCGACGAUACAUAGCCGACCUGAGAGGGUGAUCGGCCACACUGGGACUGAGACACGGCCCAGACUCCUACGGGAGGCAGCAGUAGGGAAUCUUCGGCAAUGGACGGAAGUCUGACCGAGCAACGCCGCGUGAGUGAAGAAGGUUUUCGGAUCGUAAAGCUCUGUUGUAAGAGAAGAACGAGUGUGAGAGUGGAAAGUUCACACUGUGACGUAUCUACCAGAAAGGACGCA
rnacentral:rRNA from 1 species